UCCUCAUUCCGAUGGUCUCUUCUUUUCUUUAUUUUCUUGUUCAGCCAAACACGUCCUAACCUAUGCACCUCUGAGCUUUUAGGAAAAUCCCCCCUCAAUAUAGAAAUCACCAUUUUCUGGACCAUCAUUCUGUUGUGUUGAGAGCAAGUUUUUUACUUCGCAUCAUGAUUCUAGUCUAGAUAAGAAUUGUGUAUAUGACUAUAUCGCGCAAUUAUCGGUUAGUGCUUAAAGGACGAGACUUCCAAGUAUAGCUUGAAAUCUGGGACAGACAGAUAGCUUUUAGGUAGGCUCUAUCGUGGUUAGUCUAAAACUUACGUGGAUUAUCUUUUUUUGUGCAUCAAUCACUUUGGGUUCUAUUGCACGACUUAGUUUGCCUCAUCCUUUCACAUUUAUGCCAACAUGCUCAUCUAGCUUUCUGGCGAUGCUUUUCUUUAGUGACUUACUCCUUUGUGAUUGUGUUACAACAUGUUCUGAUAUUACCAUAUACAUUCAUUGAGAGAAAUAUAGACGUGAAAUCCAUGAUAUCAUUGAGAAUAUACAUAUGAACUGUUAUUCAUCCUGGCCAUUAAAAAACUUUGGAGUGUUUUGUUCAAUUUUGACAGGAACAGUCUGCUAUUAUUGAUAAUAUAACUGCUUAAUGUGCCUUCUAUUUUUGUUCUUCAGGUGGUGAAAAAAUACAUAUAGGAAAAAUGCUGAUUCCAGUUGUAUAUCAAUAGGAAUUAUGCAGAUGCUGUGCUUUAUUCCCUAAACUGGCACAAGGGAGACUAUGAACUUGCCGAGUUGAAUGAGGCCUUUGGAGGAUAGGAAUGCAGGAUAUGGUGGGUUUGGAAUGUUUUUAUCUACUAAUAUGACUUUGGUGAUAAGCAUCCUAAUGAAAUUUUCGUAUACUUCGUUCUAUAAGUAAUGAGCUUAAGAGGGAAGAGUUUUUACUAUCUGAGGCUAAAUUUUGGGGGUUUUAGUAGGAAAGGUUGAACUUAUACAUGAAUUUAGUCUUUUAUUUGUUCAAUCUUGUUAGGACCACAAGAAAUGGGUUUGUGUUAGCGUUCUGAUUGUAGUUAUAUGAUGAAUAACAAGAAACAUUAUGGUCCAUUCAAAUGAUUACUGUCCUUUUCGAGAGGAUUUGGAUUAUCUAAAUAAAAAAGGAAAUAUGGCGUGCAUCU
rnacentral:lncRNA from 1 species